UCUGUCUCCACAGCAAUUCAGGAGUUAAUCCUCAACCAAACAACCCUGUUAAGUAAUUCAGAAGUACAGGGUUUGGUUGUUUUUUUUUUUUUCUUCCAAAACCUGUAGGGGAAAUGUGGAACACAGCAUAGACAUAUCACUAUAUUGAAAACUCCAGAGAUCCCUCUGUUCUCCAAGCAGAUGGAGAUCCCACUCUAUAAAAGGUUUUGUCUGUUGGCUCUUUUAAUGAGGCUGGUGCUCCUGACUCUUAAGAGUGAAAAAGAGAAAGAUGUUUUAUUUUGUUAAUCGGUUACAAAAGUUUAAUCUCUGCUCUGACACCCCAGGAACUGGCUGAUUUUUACCAUGACUUCACUCAAGAAAACUAGCUGAAUAGAAGUGCUUCAGAGAGUUGGAAAUCCAGAGAAUCAACCUCCAAAAAAAUAAAUGAGCGAGGAC